GGGGGUUCCAGAUAAGGAAUGAACCUCCAGGUGUUGGCUGUUGGCAGGAGCAUCUCCCCAACAACAUAAUAUGAGGAAAGACACAGGGAGAUAGAGGAACUUGCCCAACGUCACAUAAGAGAAAAUUAGCAAGAGAGAGAGAAGAAAUGGGAGACAGGGUUAGC